AGAGUGAACAACUCACAAAGUCUGAUAUAUUUCAUAAAAUAUCAAAAUCAAUCAAGUAACCUUCAAAAGGUUUACAAAGGAACUAUUUAUAGGCUGAUGGAUAUCCAGCCGAAUAGCCGCAAUUGAAUGCAAAUACUUUGAGCUAAAGUUACUUAAUUUCUAGCUGAAAAAUCCAUUGAAUGGCUUCAAUAAGUAGCUAUCCAUUGAGAAUCUCAAACAGUCUUCGGAAUGUACUUUUUGGUGUGCACGAACAGUCUUGGUUCAUAUCCUUAAUGAGUGAGCUGAUUGAAGCAUUGUUCGGUGAACGAAAUUAUAGCUGGAGUUAAUGUUUGAAAGUGCA
rnacentral:lncRNA from 1 species